UUGGUGCAGUUCGGCUACAAGAUCAUAGUUAAUGAGCAUCAUUACUGAUUGCCAGAGUGACCUGCUGAGCCAAGUCAAAUUGUGCUCUUGCGAGAACUCUGGAUUUCCAGGACCAGGUCACUGC